AGAGAAAUUUGGAUUAAUACCCUAUAGUAUCAUUUAGAGUCAUCUCUUUAUGAUUAAAGGUUACGGUAUGAGAUGAGUAUGCGUUCUAUUAGUUAGUAGGUGAGGUAACGGCUCACCUAGACCACGAUAGAUAGGGGCCCUGAGAGGGGGAUCCCCCACACUGGUACUGAGACACGGACCAGACUCCUACGGGAGGCAGCAGUGAGGAAUAUUAGACAAUGGGCGAAAGCCUGAUCUAGCCAUGCCGCGUGCAGGAUGACGGCCCUAUGGGUUGUAAACUGCUUUUAUACAGGAAGAAAAAACUCUACGUGUAGAGUCUUGACGGUACUGUAAGAAUAAGGAUCGGCUAACUCCGUGCCAGCAGCCGCGGUAAUACGGAGGAUCCAAGCGUUAUCCGGAAUUAUUGGGUUUAAAGGGUCCGUAGGUGGACAAUUAAGUCAGAGGUGAAAUCCUGCAGCUCAACUGUAGAAUUGCCUUUGAAACUGGUUGUCUUGAGUCAUUAUGAAGUGGUUAGAAUGUGUAGUGUAGCGGUGAAAUGCAUAGAUAUUACACAGAAUACCAAUUGCGAAGGCAGAUCACUAAUAAUGUACUGACACUGAUGGACGUAAGCGUGGGUAGCGAACAGGAUUAGAUACCCUGGUAGUCCACGCCGUAAACGAUGGUCACUAGCUGUUUGGACUUCGGUCUGAGUGGCUAAGCGAAAGUGAUAAGUGACCCACCUGGGG
rnacentral:rRNA from 1 species